UAGACAUUGAAUUGUCGUACGUCGUUGGCGACUGACGCCAAAUCGAAUACGUAAAAUCGUUGAUUAUAUGAAUCGUUUGCUGUGCUUACAAUUAUGUUUUUUAUUUAUGUGCUAUCCAAUUUCUUCAGUGAGAUCGUUUAUGAAAUCAUAUUUUGCUCGAACAGGCCGAUGUAAUUUAUUGUUUUCGUGUAGUGCAUUCAUUCUUCGCAUGCAAGAUCACUGUACUGUGUCAAUGUGAAACUUACUCUACAUAUGCUGUGUUUACACUGACGUUUCAUUAUUGGAAGACUGCUUCGCUUUCGACCGGAUUUACACCGUGGAGGAAGGAAUAUGUGGCCGCGAUACAUCGAGGCGAUAUAUUAUCGAGAUUGCCAGGAAGCUUGGUACCGUGGCAUCUAUCACCACUGACAUAGAUCCACGACGAUCUUCGUGCAUUAUCGAGCAACGGAACUCUACUUCACGUUUCCUACAGAGAAUCGUGUGGACAGUGUGCAACGUGAGUUUGAAACAAUUGGAUCGUUACUUCUCGUAUCAAGAGAAGCUACAAAAUGAGUGUCAGCGAGAAGCAUUAUGCUAUACGAGUUUAAAAAGGGCAGCGCAACUAUGGAUACUGUUAAGUACAUUUGUCAAGUAUACGGUGAACAUGUGCUGAAUGCGAGGAAGUGUGAAAGAUGGUCCUCAAAAUUUCAGAAUGGUGUUUUCGAGCUUGCUGACGAAGCCAGGUCUGGUCGAAGAGUAACCUUCGACGUCGAAGCAUUGAUAGUUGUAAUUGAAGCAGAACCUCAUUUGACUACCGAGGAAAUAGCAAACAGAGUAGUAGUAGUAGUAUCGUACAUCGAUAUUUGCAUCAGAUUGGAGAAGCUUCUAAUGAACUUUCCAGGAAACAGCUUGAAACGAUUUAUACGGACCAUCAACUGCUUUCGAGCGUAUCAUUAAUUUCAAGCAUCAGGAAUUCAACUUUAAUUUAAUGAACGAAGAUCUGCAGGACGCACCAUUAAUUUUACAGAAGCUUCGACAGCGUCCGGAUGCAAAAAAUAUGACGCUUCCUACUUGAGCUUCACUUACUCUCACAAAUGAAUGUAGCUUUUAACAUUUGUAACAGACAUUAUAUGUACGUACAGAAAAGUUAGAAGACAUUUUGUCGGAUCACCACUUUUCUCUUAAUAUAAUUCGCAAACGAUCAAAUACACGAAGGAUGCAGUUUAGAAAAACUUAUACGGCACGUGCUAGCUUCCAGAAAGUUAGUUCCUAGUGAGUUGUACUAUGGGUAGAAGCUGGUUGAGACACGACCAGUAGUCAAGUAGCAAGUAAAGCCGAAUUUAUACUGUCUCACUGUGAAUGAUUCAUCGAAAAACGUUGCUUUCAUCCUCGUUUCAUCCGCAGUGAUCGUCCAAUGUGAACGGUGUAAAUUCGGCUUUACUGAACUACUAGCCGUAUCCGAGCCAAUCUUAAAGCCUAGAAAACUAAGGUCAGCACUUUGUCACCUAAAUAUCGCAUGCAGUGAGAGACAAAAUCCGCACAGUUGCUUUACCGUAUCGUAGAAAAUGAAAGUGAGAUAUUUUAUUAUAUACAUUCAAUACAUUCGACAUAAUUAAAUAUAUUCAAAUACACGUAAACGUAUAUUGUAUAGAUAUUUAUAAUACUUAUAACGCUUAUAU